UGGGGAAAGUUACCGCAUCAUCUCUCGUAGUUGGCCCCGAGCUCUUCCGUCUCCCCCCCGGGCCUCCCGGGGAGGUUGCGGGCGGCUAGGGGUGCCUCCGGCCGCACGCCCAUUCUUGUCUACUGACCCGGUUGCCUCGGCGGGCCGCGCCUGCUGUGCUACAGCGGCCGUUCGGGGGGGACGCCUGAGGGGGACUCUUGUUUCCUAGGCCACGCCCCGGGCAGCGCUCGCCGGAGGAUUACUCUGGAAAACACACUCUUGAAAGAACAUACCGUCUGAGCGAGCAACGCAAUCAGUUAAAACUUUCAACAACGGAUCUCUUGGUUCCGGCAUCGAUGAAGAACGCAGCGAAAUGCGAUAAGUAAUGUGAAUUGCAGAAUUCCGUGAAUCAUCGAAUCUUUGAACGCACAUUGCGCCCCCUGGCAUUCCGGGGGGCAUGCCUGUUCGAGCGUCAUUUCAACCCCUCAAGCCCGGCUUGUGUGAUGGACGACCGUCCCCCCUCCCCAGUAACCACCCACCGCUUAGGGGGGUGGGAGGGAGGGGGACGCGCCCGAAAAGCAGUGGUCAGGCCGCGAUUCCGGCUCCUGGGCGAAUGGGACAUACCACCGCCUCCAGGACCGGCCGGCAGGCUGGCCUAACGCACCAUGUAUUAUUCAUGUUGACCUCGGAUCAGUAGGGAUACCCGCUGAACUUAAGCAUAUCAUAUAACCGGGAAAGAGAAA
rnacentral:rRNA from 1 species